UCUAACGGGUGAGCCUGAGCGCUCCACGAGAAUAUGUUCUGCACCGCGCCCCAACCGCUGCGCCCGCGGCCGCGGCCGCUCUGGCCCGCGCCACGAUGCUCCAGCUCCGACAACUCCCAGCCCUCGCCGCCGCCGCCCUCCACCGCGGCGGCCGGCGGCAUCCGUCGCCUGGUGCUCCCGCCCGAGGGCCGCGCGAAGCUGGACCCGCGCCCCGACCGCGACUUCUACGGGUUCCCGCGGCUCGUGACGCACGUGGACGACGGCUUCAUCGCCGCGCUCACGGGCCUCUACCGGGAGCGCCUCCGCGCCGGGUGGGACGUGCUCGACCUCAUGAGCUCCUGGGUCAGCCACCUGCCGCCGGAGGUCCGGUUCCGCCGCGUAGUCGGCCACGGGCUCAACGCGCAGGAGCUCGCCAGGAACCCGCGCCUGGACUCCUUCUUCGUCAAGGACCUCAACGAGGAGCAGCAGCUCGCGCUCGAGGGCAGCUUCGACGCCGUGCUCUGCACCGUCAGCGUGCAGUACCUGCAGUACCCUGAAAAGGUCUUCGCGGAGAUCUUCCGGGUGCUGAAGCCGGGGGGAGUGUGCAUCGUGAGCUUCAGCAACCGGAUGUUCUACGAGAAGGCGAUCGGCGCGUGGCGCGAGGGCACCGCGUCCAGCCGCGUCCAGCUCGUGAUGCAGUACUUCCAGUGCGUGGAGGGGUUCACGCAGCCCGAGGUGGUCAGGGAGCUGCCGGCGGCCGGCGGGUCGUCGGCGUCGCCGUUGGACGCCGUGCUGAGGUUGUUCGGCAUGGCCAGCUCCGACCCGUUCAACGCCGUCAUCUCGUACAGGAACUUCAAGCCAAUGUGAAAGCCAUAGAUAGAGUACUGAAACUUUUGCCCAUCGAUAGAUUACUGAAACUUUUGCCGGUACUGGGGGAUCUGUUCCAUCUGUACAAUGAUCAGGUAGUACCGAGAAAGAUACUAUGUCUGUAUCAGGUGGAGAUCAACUGAAAGUUCAGAAGCUGAGAUAUCAUACACCGAACAACGGACUCAGACAUAUACUGGGAACCCAUUUUAUUGCAGAAA